AUUGAACGCUGGCGGCAGGCCUAACACAUGCAAGUCGAACGGUAACAGGAAGCAGCUUGCUGCUUCGCUGACGAGUGGCGGACGGGUGAGUAAUGUCGGGGAAACUGCCUGAUGGAGGGGGAUAACUACUGGAAACGGUAGCUAAUACCGCAUAACGUCGCAAGACCAAAGAGGGGGACCUUAGGGCCUCUUGCCAUCGGAUGUGCCCAGAUGGGAUUAGCUAGUAGGUGGGGUAACGGCUCACCUAGGCGACGAUCCCUAGCUGGUCUGAGAGGAUGACCAGCCACACUGGAACUGAGACACGGUCCAGACUCCUACGGGAGGCAGCAGUGGGGAAUAUUGCACAAUGGGCGCAAGCCUGAUGCAGCCAUGCCGCGUGUAUGAAGAAGGCCUUCGGGUUGUAAAGUACUUUCAGCGGGGAGGAAGGGAGUAAAGUUAAUACCUUUGCUCAUUGACGUUACCCGCAGAAGAAGCACCGGCUAACUCCGUG
rnacentral:rRNA from 1 species